GAGAGAAUUUUCCAUAUUGGGUUUAUGUGUCACCUGAUAUAGAUUUUUGCAAUUAGAAACUAAAUAUAAACAUUAUGUGUAUGACACAUAUACGAGGAUGAACUUCGCCGUUAUUAAAAUUAUGUGUCGAGUAUAUAAAUGACAGAAUGAUCAAAUAUUAAUGUUAUGAUCCCAUCGUAUAUAGUUUUUAUUAGUGUUUCCAAUUAUUUUUACUGCUUCUCUUUUGUUUUAUGUAUAGUUGGAGGUUAGUUCCCUUUGCUUUAUUGAUAAAUUGAUAAAAUAACUAUAGACAUAUUAUUGAUAAUAUUGUAUAUUUCUGGCGUUCGAUUAGAAUAGGUCGUAUGUUUCCUGUGAUUCUUAUGUUGAUAGGACCUAUUCAAAUCGAACGCCAGAUUUAUUUAAAGAAGUUUCUACAUGAAGUGCGGACCGUCGGUAGUAGGUAUUGCUAUAAAUCUCGAGAAAAAAAUAACACUUUUAAUCAAGCUGCAAAUACGCCGUGCCUUGCUUCCAAUAGACCAUUCCCGUCAAAAAUUUUUAUGUGCUCUACGGCUUUCUGAUAAUUUAUUGAGUAAACUUUCCCAAGGAACCCAUAUGUUUUGAAGGCUCUAACUAUUGAAAAACAAUGAAAAACCUGCGAAGUAGCACUUUUCCCCACAGUCUCCUAUAUUUUAUUUCACCCCAAUUUCCGCCAGACCCCUUUCUCCUCUAUGGAUCGACCGCAGUGCUGUGGUGAGUUUCUGAUGCGAACUGUCAGACUUUUGUUAUUGUUUUGAUUUAGUGCAAAUCGGCUCCGGAGGUUCCGAAAAUUCCAAUAAUUAUUGGAAAUCAUGAAGACUUAAAGACACUUUGUGUCUAAGAAGCGGUGACGAGCACAUCCCGCGGAUCCCUCUAAGCGACCAGUCACUGAACGAGGACACAAAUUUGCCAUAAUUGGUGUCGCAGUAUCAAAUUAAGCACUGUUUUUAGCUUGUCACCGGUGCACUCGGUCCGGCUUGUUCGAGAUGAGGACGAGUAGACCGCGUUCCACCAGGAGAUGGGAACAGGAAAGCAUCUUUGGAUACCGGGAUCUGCAGAUUGACGUAUGCUUUGCGUCCAGUUACUAUAUUUAAACAUACAUUUGGAAAAGGUUGAUGUUUGCUCAGGCAGGAGUAAAAGCCGACGACGUGGAAAAAGUUCUCGCGGAAAUUGUAAAUACAAAAAAGUGGUCAAAGUUAAACCCGAUUCGUUCGGAGAGAAGGUCGACGAGUUCCAAAUUGGUGCCGGGACAACGGACGGCGGCGCCACUUGAACGUUCGAGCUUUACGUCAAUGACUUCCAACGAAAGGGAAAUCGUGAAAUUCCACUCGACAUCGGAGUUACCCGCAGUUCAUCAGGCCGCCUCCAUUCCAGAAACUAGCCAUUACCUCCCACUUGAUCGCAAACACGAUUUUCAAGUACAUUAUAGGUACUUCUCGGAUUGUACCGAAGGAGAACGUUGCCGACAUCACCUACGAGAAACCGACGUGGUCCAGCCCAUCCGAUCGGUGGCAGCGCUGUAUGGUCCUGCCGUCGUUUGAUAAGGAACGGCUGCCAGCCAGAUUCUCGAAGAGCAUGCUACUGGAUGCCAAGGUGUGAGCAGAGCUUUCAGUAUUUCCUCGUCGUUGGAAGAUCAUCAUGCUGGUUACAAGGAAGUGGAACAAUGCUACCAUCAGUUGUGGAAGAAAAUGAAUUCAUUCCGAGUAAGCGCAGUGCACUUCAGAUACACUUCUUUUCCUUUAGAGGAUUCUAUUAUAUCUCAUUUGUUUCGUUUAAAUAUUAUAAGGAUGUUUUUUUCAACUAAUGCCUGAUUGCGUUUAUUUUUAAUCGGAUGACUCACCUUAAAUGUAGGUAGUAGGGUAUAUGGUAAUUUUUCUUAAUUAGAACUGUUCACUACAAGCAUCGAUCUAGAUUAAAUAAGCCUAAGAAAUACUAAUAUAUAGAAGUUUGCGAAUUGAGUGGCUAAUUUCAAAAGACGACAUCUUGCAACAUUAGACGACAUGAUGAACCUCGAAAUUUCGUAGUAAGGAAUCGAUCAAAAACUUUCUCGAGCGAUUCCUUUCGAACACGGAACUGGGCUUUAAAAAAGAAGCAACAAAUUUCAGAAGUAAAUAUGCGAAGCCUUACCUCACCUUACUAUUUGAGAGAAAAUGGAAAACCUAACUAUUUGAAAAUAUUUAGCACUGAAAAUAAUUAUUCAUGAACCUCUGUAACUUUCCUUGAGGUUUAAGAAAGAAGUUACAAAUUCCAAAAGUAAAUACGUGACACCUUGCUAUUUGAGGACACACUCAGAAAUAAGGAUAUUCAUGAAAUGACUAUUUUUCAUUCAUUUCAUAACUUAAUCGCAUUUAUGCAUUAAGAUUUCAAAGAAAAAGAUUCUCAGUGCAUAUAUCUUAUAGUUAGAAUUCAUAAAUUAAUUAAAGUAAGAGAAUGUGUAAUUUUUAGACUCCUGUACGGUGGCAACUUACAAUAAAAGCGCCGCAGUUAUAGAUUCUGUUUAGAACUGUACUUUCCGAUUUUGUUAAAAAUUUUCAAGUUUGUAUAUUUAUUAAGUAAUAUUUGUAAAACUAUUAGUGUAACUCCAGAAGUUCCGCAUAAGGGAUGCAGUGCAGUCUUACGUGAGUAAAAUAAAUCGGCCCCUUCAUUUUACGUUACCACGAAGAUUAUCCUUAUCCCAUAUUUAAUUACAUUAUAUCCUUUGCAGAGCACCAGAUUGACACCGUGGACAGGUUCCUUUUGGUGGCUCAGGAUGUGGAUUUGCCAAAUCGGAACAUUAUUUGUGGGCCAGGAUACUCAUCAUAGAGCCCAUCAGGUUAUGGGAAGUUAAGGAUUCUCAGCAGAACCAGUAGAAAGUGGAAAUAUUGAACUUUGUCAAAAUGAUUCAUUUUUUUUAUAAUAUAAAUUUAUUAUUAAGCUUGAAACGCUUCAUGUUGAAAUUUAGCUGCUAAUUCACCGAUUUAAUAUAUUGAAAUGAAAUUCCUAAAGAAAAGCGAAAUUUUACUUAUAUUUAUACAUAAAAUGCAUAAAAUUUAGAAAAUAUUACAAGGAACAACUUUUUUAAAAAGUACUAAAAAAUAUGCAUUCUGAAAACUAAAUGGUAUAUAGUUUUGCUCAACUAAUUCAUAUUUAGUCAGUUAAUGCAUGAACCCAGUCGAACCGCAAUUUUGCAUAGAAAAUAUUCAUUAAUGACUUUAUUUAUUUCUGAGUGCAUAGUGAACUCAACUGAAAUUUAUUAGUACAAACAAUUUCUCUGUAACUUCUUGUUCUUUGUGGCUCGACGUUCCCACUGGAACAUGGCCUACCUCUCUUCAACUUCUUUGAGCAUUUCCACAGUUAUAAAUUGAGGGGCUUUCUUUGCCUGCCAAUGCAUGAAUUUGUAUAUUGUGAGGCAUAAGCACCACGAUCAGGCAUGAGAAUGAGACUUUUUUCUGUUUACCGUUCAUCGAUACUAGCAGUAAAAUAAAAACAAAACAACGGCAGCACCAAUACCAUCAGACGCCGCGCCGACGGCAGUCACGCAGACGCUUGAUGGUUUUCGCUUCCCCACGAAAAUAUUUAUGAGCAGUCAAGCUGAGGCGGGUGAUUGCGAAAAAUGUCAAAUAUUUUCAACUGCUAAUAACUCACUUGUUUUGAUAGAUAAUUUAAAUCGGUUUGCACAAAUAACUAGAGCACACUCCUAGCUUUGUGAUGCAUGUAAAGAAGUGUGUCUAGAAGCGGUUUGAAACGCAGAAAAAUGCGAAAAUGGGAGAGCCAGAAAUUUUUGUCGUCGUUGUGCUCGAGUACUGGCGCUCUCGCGCUUGGAAACCGUUUCGAGGAAGAAGGCUGCAGGAAAAAAAAUGUUAUGACAUUUAUUUUUCGAACAGUUUGAGUUUGGCUGGGCUUGUGAUGUUCGUGUGGAAAAAUGUCAAAUGUACAGCCGGUUACCGUUUUUUCCAGUAUUGCUUUUUUCACUGAAAAUUUUCCUUACUUCGCUGAACAACAUGACGUUUUCUUCCAGCGAAGGCUUACGCGAUACAGAAAAUCGCUGAAUUUCACACUAACACUGCAGAAAAUCUGUCAAGAAUAACUCAAUACACAUGCAUUUUCAGCGAAAAGAUCUAUUUGCGUGACAACAAUCCACUCACAUGCCUACCGGGCGGCCGCCGUCAAAUAUCAGGAUUGCCAACUGUUCGGCGACUGCUGUCAGUUUUCUUUGUCGCCGAAUCUGGCGCUGGGUCUUCGGCGCGGAAACCCAAAGGUGGGAAUAAAAUGUUGGGGUUUGCGCGCAAUACAUUUCCCAUCCCUGACCACGAUGCACUUCUGCUCGGCGUGUGACGUGACAAAAGUCGUGUCGCAUGUGUCACCCGAUUCCCGUAGGCGGAUGCGGUGACAAGAGUCGGUGUGGGUGAACACCGAUGAACUCUCACCGCAUUCCCACAGUCGCUUCAGAUCGACAAAUGUCGCAUUCAAGUGACGUUUGAAUGUGAGAUUUGUCGUAACCUCGGGAGGUGUCGACAGCUCAACCAGAACGAGUUAAAACAUAAAUAAAUUGACAUCGACGGAACGGUGUAUCGAUCAACCGGAUGCCGGCGAACGUGGGUACCAAAAAUUCGCUUUGCGUAUAGUCAUCCCACCAUCGCGAAGGACAACUAUACGUUUUAGUCAAACGAAAAACACCGGAACAUUUGAGGUGAACUCGGCGUCGUGGUGCACAAACCGAGAGGAGUAGGCCCGUUCUGCGCCAAGCAGUUUCCAGCAUGAACUAAGGGAAGCUCGGAUUUCGGCAACAGGUUUAGGAGCAACAGGAAGGAUCACAUGGACCCAUUCCAUCCGAAGAUAUCGAUGAUCGUGUCGUCAGUUCACAAUCGGAGGGAAAGGGUAAUGCCGCUAGGGAUGAUCGAAUACCGUGAUUAGGAUGACGAAGGAGAGUCCCAGAAAUAGCGCGUCCCUAUGGAAUUUGAAAUUUGAACGCACCAAGAAUAUCGUUUAAGAAGCAUCCGCUUGUGGAAACUAAGGCUUUUACGAAGCUGGAGAGUAUUUAGAAGAUGGACCUUAAAUGGAAAUUAGUCGCUCGUGGAGCUGAGUUGAUUAGUUUAGUUGUGUAAUUGUGACAUGUAUUUGAGAAGCGCAAAAUAAAUAAUUUAGGAUACUUUUGUAUUUGUGUAAAUA